CGGAGGCGUGGCCGAGCGGCUGAAGGCGACGGUUUUGAAAACCGUUGUGCGGGAAACUGCACCGGGGGUUCGAAUCCCUCCGCCUCCGU
rnacentral:tRNA from 1 species